UCGAGCGGACAGAUGGGAGCUUGCUCCCUGAUGUUAGCGGCGGACGGGUGAGUAACACGUGGGUAACCUGCCUGUAAGACUGGGAUAACUCCGGGAAACCGGGGCUAAUACCGGAUGGUUGUUUGAACCGCAUGGUUCAGACAUAAAAGGUGGCUUCGGCUACCACUUACAGAUGGACCCGCGGCGCAUUAGCUAGUUGGUGAGGUAACGGCUCACCAAGGCGACGAUGCGUAGCCGACCUGAGAGGGUGAUCGGCCACACUGGGACUGAGACACGGCCCAGACUCCUACGGGAGGCAGCAGUAGGGAAUCUUCCGCAAUGGACGAAAGUCUGACGGAGCAACGCCGCGUGAGUGAUGAAGGUUUUCGGAUCGUAAAGCUCUGUUGUUAGGGAAGAACAAGUGCCGUUCAAAUAGGGCGGCACCUUGACGGUACCUAACCAGAAAGCCACGGCUAACUACGUGCCAGCAGCCGCGGUAAUACGUAGGUGGCAAGCGUUGUCCGGAAUUAUUGGGCGUAAAGGGCUCGCAGGCGGUUUCUUAAGUCUGAUGUGAAAGCCCCCGGCUCAACCGGGGAGGGUCAUUGGAAACUGGGGAACUUGAGUGCAGAAGAGGAGAGUGGAAUUCCACGUGUAGCGGUGAAAUGCGUAGAGAUGUGGAGGAACACCAGUGGCGAAGGCGACUCUCUGGUCUGUAACUGACGCUGAGGAGCGAAAGCGUGGGGAGCGAACAGGAUUAGAUACCCUGGGUAGUCCACGCCGUAAACGAUGAGUGCUAAGUGUUAGGGGGUUUCCGCCCCUUAGUGCUGCAGCUAACGCAUUAAGCACUCCGCCUGGGGAGUACGGUCGCAAGACUGAAACUCAAAGGAAUUGACGGGGGCCCGCACAAGCGGUGGAGCAUGUGGUUUAAUUUGAAGCAACGCGAAGAACCUUACCAGGUCUUGACAUCCUCUGACAAUCCUAGAGAUAGGACGUCCCCUUCGGGGGCAGAGUGACAGGUGGUGCAUGGUUGUCGUCAGCUCGUGUCGUGAGAUGUUGGGUUAAGUCCCGCAACGAGCGCAACCCUUGAUCUUAGUUGCCAGCAUUCAGUUGGGCACUCUAAGGUGACUGCCGGUGACAAACCGGAGGAAGGUGGGGAUGACGUCAAAUCAUCAUGCCCCUUAUGACCUGGGGUACACACGUGCUACAAUGGGCAGAACAAAGGGCAGCGAAACCGCGAGGUUAAGCCAAUCCCACAAAUCUGUUCUCAGUUCGGAUCGCAGUCUGCAACUCGACUGCGUGAAGCUGGAAUCGCUAGUAAUCGCGGAUCAGCAUGCCGCGGUGAAUACGUUCCCGGGCCUUGUACACACCGCCCGUCACAC
rnacentral:rRNA from 1 species